rnacentral:rRNA from 1 species
AUUGAACGCUGGCGGCAUGCUUUACACAUGCAAGUCGAACGGUAACAGGCCGCAAGGUGCUGACGAGUGGCGAACGGGUGAGUAAUGCAUCGGAACGUGCCCAGGCGUGGGGGAUAACUACUCGAAAGAGUAGCUAAUACCGCAUACGAUCUAUGGAUGAAAGCGGGGGACCGUAAGGCCUCGCGCGAUUGGAGCGGCCGAUGUCAGAUUAGGUAGUUGGUGGGGUAAAGGCUCACCAAGCCAACGAUCUGUAGCUGGUCUGAGAGGACGACCAGCCACACUGGGACUGAGACACGGCCCAGACUCCCACGGGAGGCAGCAGUGGGGAAUUUUGGACAAUGGGCGCAAGCCUGAUCCAGCAAUGCCGCGUGCAGGAAGAAGGCCUUCGGGUUGUAAACUGCUUUUGUACGGAACGAAACGGCUCUGGUUAAUACCCGGGGCUAAUGACGGUACCGUAAGAAUAAGCACCGGCUAACUACGUG